rnacentral:rRNA from 1 species
GAUGAACGCUAGCUACAGGCUUAACACAUGCAAGUCGAGGGGAAACGACAUCGAAAGCUUGCUUUUGAUGGGCGUCGACCGGCGCACGGGUGAGUAACGCGUAUCCAACCUGCCCAUCACUUGGGAAUAACCUUGCGAAAGUAAGACUAAUACCCAAUGAUAUCCCACGAAGACAUCUGAAUGGGAUUAAAGAUUUAUCGGUGAUGGAUGGGGAUGCGUCUGAUUAGCUUGUUGGCGGGGUAACGGCCCACCAAGGCAACGAUCAGUAGGGGUUCUGAGAGGAAGGUCCCCCACAUUGGAACUGAGACACGGUCCAAACUCCUACGGGAGGCAGCAGUGAGGAAUAUUGGUCAAUGGGCGAGAGCCUGAACCAGCCAAGUAGCGUGCAGGAGGACGGCCCUAUGGGUUGUAAACUGCUUUUAUAAGGGAAUAAAGUGGGUCUCGUGAGACUUUUUGCAUGUACCUUAUGAAUAAGGACCGGCUAAUUCCGUG